rnacentral:ncRNA from 1 species
UGAAAACCUAACGACAAAGGUGCUGUUUUCAGCUUAAAAGGGAAUCCGGUGAGAAUCCGGAACUGUCCCCGCAACUGUGAGUGCUACGAAAUGAAUAAUCCACUGUACGUUUCGUAUGGGAAGGAUUCAAAGUAGGAUGAAGCACGAGUCAGGAGACCUGCCUUUGUCCGAACGUUUCU